ACGGAGGGUGCAAGCGUUAUCCGGAUUCACUGGGUUUAAAGGGUGCGUAGGUGGGCAAGUAAGUCAGUGGUGAAAUCUCCGGGCUUAACCCGGAAACUGCCAUUGAUACUAUUUGUCUUGAAUACUGUGGAGGUCAGCGGAAUAUGUCAUGUAGCGGUGAAAUGCGUAGAUAUCGAGAGGAACACCUGCGGCGAAGGCGGGUUGCUGGGCUGACACUGACGCUGAGGCGCGAAAGCCAGGGGAGCGAACGGGA
rnacentral:rRNA from 1 species